CCAGGUUAAGAGUUAGGCAUCUCCUUGAGAUGUCCUUAUUUGCUUAGGUCCUGCAUGAAAGCACAUAGUGCCCUAGCUCUUUUGAAAAGCAGGAAAAUCCUGAAAGAAAGCAACACAGAGCUUUCUCCAUUGUGAGGUAGUGAGGAGGGGAUUAGGACACUAGGUGAGAAAGGACAGGCCUAGACAAUGAAGCAAGGGGCGAGUGGGUGGAUGGGUAAAACCACCUGCUCCUCAAAACAGCCAGGCUCUGAGAUGAAGCAGGAAUCUGCACUUAAACCGAGGCUGGAUCCAUCCUAGGGAUUCAAGCCUGUGUUGUCAAGCGAAAACAGAAAAGAGAAGGGAAUUCCACCUUUGCCCACUGAGAACACAUCUAUGCUGAGAACACAUCUACCCAACUCCUCUGUCACAACCCCUGUGAGAAGGUUCUGCCAUCUCCCAGCCCUGAAGAUUGUGAGCUCCCUGAUGGCCCUGGGCCUCCCUCCCGACAGCUGAGGCCCUUCCUGGAUCUCUACACGUCACCAAGCUAAGCCAGUGUUCCAAAAUAGUCUCCUGAACAAUGAUGACAACUGCACAGUUAUUUUGGAAGAACUUCCUGGCAGUGAUGGCAGUGGAACAUUGGAAACAGAGAUGAACAGGAGGUGGGAAGAGGAGGCUAAGUACAUGUAGGCCUAAAAGUCUCUGCCUUGGGAGAUUUUUAACAGUCCUGGAUGGAGAAAGGGAGAGCCAUUUGGUCAAGAGGCUGCCCAUCAGAUCCUGUGUCCUUCUGCACUGCUAAUAUCUAUCUGUGGCCCUGCUUUAAAACCCAAAUACGAACAUCUCUUCCAUGAAGCCCUUCCUGAUUGCCAGUGCCCUCAACAGUGGGAUAAACUGCCAGGCAUCUUGGAGAUCUAGACCCGUGGUUCUCAAUCCCGACUUCCCCCGGCCUCCUGAGAAGCUUUUAAUAG
rnacentral:lncRNA from 1 species